GUUUGCAGAGCACUGAACUUCUUCUUUUCCUUUUUCUUCUCCUUCUCCUCCUCUUCCUCUUUCUUCUCCUCCUCCUCCUCUUUCUCCUCCUCCUUUCUCCUCCUCUUCCUCCUCUUUCUCCUCCUCCUCCUCUUCUCCUUCUCCUGCUCCUCUUUCUUCUUCUUCUCCUCCUCCUCCUCCUCCUCCUCUUUCUUCUUCUUCCCCAUCUUCUCUUUCUUCCCCAUCUUCUUCUUCUUCUUCCCCUUCUCCUCCUCCUCUUCCUUCUCUUCCUCUUCCCCUUUCUCUCCCCUCUUUCCCUCCUCCCUCCUCCCCCUCAUCCUCCUCCUCCUCCUUCUCCUCCUCCUCUUUCUUCUUCUUCUUCUCCUCCUCCUGCUCCUCCUCUUUCUUCUUCUUCUUCUUCCCCAUAUUCUUCUUCUUCCCCUUCUCCUCCUCCUUCUCUUCCUCCUCAUCUUUCUCCUUCUCCUCCUCCUCCCCCUCAUCCUCCUCUUCCUCCUUCUCCUCUUUCUUCUUCUUCAUCUUCUUCUUCUUUGCCCCAACUCCUUCUUGACCACCAGGGGGCGCUCCAAGAGAACCGCAUUUGGGACAAGAAAAAAUGGACUCUGUUGCCACUUGAUCAGGAACUGUGGAAUAGUCUUCCAAACCACCUGGAUGGAAUAGAAAUAUCUACAAGCGUCAUCCAAGGCACUGCCCGUAAGAAUUAGCAAUGCAGACAUGGACAUGAACCUGGAAAUUUCCACCACAACAACAAAAGUUUUUUUUAAAAAGAUAGUAAAAGAAAUUAGGGAGGUUCUCUGCAAGCUGUCCUGAUUUCAUGGGGUUUAAGUGCAUUUCUUCUAUAUAUUAAUCAAUCAAUGAAUCGUAUUUAAUGAGCUCUUACUGAGUGCAGAGCACUGUACUAUAUAUAUAUUACAGAGCUGAUAAACAUGUUCGCUGCACACAAUGAGCUCACAGCCUAGCGGGUAUUCAAUUGUGUCCUUCAUUAUAAAUCAUCUUAGCACGCAAGUUCCACAACAAAACUGUGCAAUUCUAAAGAGGCCUGCUCCUUAUUUUAGAACUUAGCUUAAGGAAGUCUAUACAUGUACAUACAACAUUAAAAUUGAGGCACUAGAGUGCACUGAGCCCUAAUAGACAGGAGCUUGGCCAACCAGUACCAAAAGGAAUUUCCCAUCCCAUGAAAAUCUAGGUAAACCCCCAAAGUAAAAUCAAAACCAAGAGCCUGAGAA
rnacentral:lncRNA from 1 species